AACGUAGGAGACAAACGUUAUCCGGAGUUACUGGGCGUAAAGGGCGUGUAGGCGGUUUGUUAAGUCUGGCGUGAAAGCUCUCGGCUAAACCGGGAGAGGUCGUUGGAUACUGGCAACUAGAGGAUGGUAGAGGCGUGUGGAAUUCCGGGUGUAGUGGUGAAAUGCGUAGAGAUCCGGAGGAACACCAGUGGCGAAGGCGACACGCUGGGCCAGUACCUGACGCUAAAGCGCGACAGCAUGGGGAGCAAACGGG
rnacentral:rRNA from 1 species